rnacentral:rRNA from 1 species
AAACUCCUACGGGAGGCAGCAGUGAGGAAUAUUGGGCAAUGGAGGCAACUCUGACCCAGCCAUGCCGCGUGAGUGAAGAAGGUUUUCGGAUUGUAAAGCUCUUUCGGGUGUGACGAUGAUGACGGUAGCACCUAAAGAAGCCCCGGCUAACUUCGUGCCAGCAGCCGCGGUAAUACGAAGGGGGCAAGCGUUGUUCGGAAUUACUGGGCGUAAAGGGAGUGUAGGCGGUUAUGUAAGAUAGUGGUGAAAUCCCAGAGCUUAACUUUGGAAUUGCCAUUAUGACUAUGUGGCUAGAAUUACAGAGAGGAUAGUGGAAUACCCAGUGUAGAGGUGAAAUUCGUAGAUAUUGGGUAGAACACCAGUGGCGAAGGCGACUAUCUGGCUGUAUAUUGACGCUGAGGCUCGAAAGCAUGGGGAUCAAACAGGAUUAGAUACCCUGGUAGUCCAUGCUGUAAACGAUGAGUGCUUGUUGUCGGUAUUGUAUCGGUGACGAAGUUAACGCGUUAAGCACUCCGCCUGGGGAGUACGGUCGCAAGAUUAAAACUCAAAGGAAUUGACGGGGACCCGCACAAGCGGUGGAGCAUGUGGUUUAAUUCGAUGCAACGCGAAGAACCUUACCAACUCUUGACAUCCUUAUCGGGGAGAUCAGAGAUGAUUUCUUUCAGUUAGGCUGGAUAAGUGACAGAUGCUGCAUGGCUGUCGUCAGCUCGUGUCGUGAGAUGUUGGGUUAAGUCCCGCAACGAGCGCAACCCCUGCUAUCAGUUGCCAUCAGGUAGAGCUGGGCACUCUGAUAGGACUGCCGGUGAUAAGCCGGAGGAAGGUGGGGAUGACGUCAAGUCAUCAUGGCUCUUACGAGUUGGGCUACACACGUGCUACAAUGGCAACUACAGAGGGGAGCGAGACCGCGAGGUCGAGCCAAUCUUAAAAAGUUGUCUCAGUUCAGAUUGUACUCUGCAACUCGAGUAUAUGAAGUUGGAAUCGCUAGUAAUCGCGGAUCAGCAUGCUGCGGUGAAUACGUUCCCGGGUCUUGUACACACCGCCCGUCACGCCAUGGGAGUUGGUUCUGCCUGACGGCGUUGAGGUAACCCGCAAGGGAGCCUGGCGACCACGGUAGGGUCAGCGACUGGGGCGAAGUCGUAACAAGGUAGCCGUAGGGGAACCUGCGGCUG